GUAGCAUUUGGAGUUGCUGUGCACUUCGUGCCUUUUGGGGUGGGAUGGAGGCAUGUGCACCAACCCCUGUUGGACUCUGCUAGUGAAAUGUUCUGAACUUCUGUGCUGAGGCACAUGGACACUAUAAGUGGGAUCCACAUGUGCAGAACUUCUCCAAGAACCAUAGUUACUAUCAGGAUUCAAGGUUCCAAUUAAAACCCUGUUUGGGCCAUUGCUUUGCCUUCCAGUUCUUAAUCUUUCCUGAAAGCCUCAUCACUUUUCUAAAACAAAAGAAGAAUGAGCAUUAACGUUAUUCGUAUUAAUACAUGGGACAUCAGAGGAAGUUUUCAGGGCCAUUUGCUAGGAGCAGCUUUGAGCCAUCUCCUCUGAUGGUUAUGUGCUGCAAUGCACACCUGGAGAGAUCUACAGUUUCAUCUUCAAAAGUGCUGAACUGCAGUUCCUGCUGAAGUCCAUAAUUACAGUCCGCUUUUUGAGAAUUUGGAGAAGCUUGACUCCUGAACCUAAACUUCAGGGCUGUGGUCUCUCUGUGUCUAAUUUUUGAUUAAACUCAACCUAAAAAUCAAACUCCAAGGAAUAAGAAUAUUAUGCAGACAGUAAUUGUAAAGAAGAAAUAGGGUUCACUGACUUUCGUGUGGCCCAAAUCAA